rnacentral:tRNA from 1 species
GCCGUGGUUUCGAGUGGUUCCGAAUGGCGCCAAAUCACCAGUUCAGAACAUCUUUCGGGGCUACGACUAGGCGAGCUUGCAGGCUCUCCUAAAGCCGGUGUCGCAUGUUCGAAUCAUGCCGGGGGCA